rnacentral:rRNA from 1 species
UGAGGAAUAUUGGACAAUGGGCGAGAGCCUGAUCCAGCCAUGCCGCGUGCAGGAAGACCGCCCUAUGGGUCGUAAACUGCUUUUGUACGGGAAGAAACACCCCCUCGUGAGGGGGCUUGACGGUACCGUACGAAUAAGGACCGGCUAACUCCGUGCCAGCAGCCGCGGUAAUACGGAGGGUCCGAGCGUUAUCCGGAAUCAUUGGGUUUAAAGGGUCCGUAGGCGGGCGUCUAAGUCAGUGGUGAAAUCUCGCGGCUCAACCGUGAAAUUGCCAUUGAUACUGGUCGUCUUGAAUGGUUGUGAAGUGGCUAGAAUAUGUGGUGUAGCGGUGAAAUGCUUAGAUAUCACAUAGAAUACCGAUUGCGAAGGCAGGUCACUAACAACGCAUUGACGCUGAUGGACGAAAGCGUGGGGAGCGAACAGG